rnacentral:rRNA from 1 species
AAACUAGCAUAUCAAUAAGCGGAGGAAAAGAAACCAACAGGGAUUGCCCUAGUAACGGCGAGUGAAGCGGCAACAGCUCAAAUUUGAAAUCUGGCUCUCGGGCCCGAGUUGUAAUUUGUAGAGGAUACUUUUGAUGCGGUGCCUUCCGAGUUCCCUGGAACGGGACGCCAUAGAGGGUGAGAGCCCCGUCUGGUUGGAUGCCAAAUCUCUGUAAAGUUCCUUCAACGAGUCGAGUAGUUUGGGAAUGCUGCUCUAAAUGGGAGGUAUAUGUCUUCUAAAGCUAAAUACCGGCCAGAGACCGAUAGCGCACAAGUAGAGUGAUCGAAAGAUGAAAAGCACUUUGAAAAGAGAGUUAAAAAGUACGUGAAAUUGUUGAAAGGGAAGCGUUUAUGACCAGACUUGGGCUUGGUUAAUCAUCUGGGGUUCUCCCCAGUGCACUUUUCCAGCUCAGGCCAGCAUCAGUUUUCCCCGGGGGAUAAAGGCGGAGGGAAUGUGGCUCUCUUCGGGGAGUGUUAUAGCCCACCGUGUAAUACCCUGGGGGGGACUGAGGUUCGCGCAUCUGCAAGGAUGCUGGCGUAAUGGUCAUCAACGACCCGUCUUGAAACACGGACCAAGGAGUCGUCUUCGUAUGCGAGUGUUCGGGUGUCAAACCCCUACGCGUAAUUAAAGUGAACGCAGGUGAGAGCUUCGGCGCAUCAUCGACCGAUCCUGAUGUUCUCGGAUGGAUUUGAGUAAGAGCAUACGGGGCCGGACCCGAAAGAAGGUGAACUAUGCCUGUAUAGGGUGAAGCCAGAGGAAACUCUGGUGGAGGCUCGCAGCGGUUCUGACGUGCAAAUCGAUCGUCAAAUAUGGGCAUGGGGGCGAAAGAC